AUUGAUUUUAUGCUUGCAUAAAUGAUUUUUGGAUUCGGAGCGAGUGGCGAACUGGUGAGUAACACGUGGGUAACCUGCCCCGAAGCGGGGGAUAACAUUUGGAAACAAGUGCUAAUACCGCAUAAUUAGUUGGAACCGCAUGGUUCCAACUUGAAAGAUGGCUCUGCUAUCACUUUGGGAUGGACCCGCGCCGUAUUAGUUAGUUGGUGAGAUAAAAGCCCACCAAGACGAUGAUACGUAGCCGACCUGAGAGGGUAAUCGGCCACAUUGGGACUGAGACACGGCCCAGACUCCUACGGGAGGCAGCAGUAGGGAAUCUUCCACAAUGGACGAAAGUCUGAUGGAGCAACGCCGCGUGAGUGAUGAAGGUUUUCGGAUCGUAAAACUCUGUUGUUAAAGAAGAACAAGUGUUAGAGUAACUGUUAACACUUUGACGGUAUUUAACCAGAAAGCCACGGCUAACUACGUGCCAGCAGCCGCGGUAAUACGUAGGUGGCAAGCGUUGUCCGGAUUUAUUGGGCGUAAAGCGAGCGCAGGCGGUUUUGUAAGUCUGCUGUGAAAGCCCUCAGCUCAACUGAGGAAGUGCAGUGGAAACUACAAAACUUGAGUACAGAAGAGGAAAGUGGAACUCCAUGUGUAGCGGUGAAAUGCGUAGAUAUAUGGAAGAACGCCAGUGGCGAAGGCGGCUUUCUGGUCUGUUACUGACGCUGAGGCUCGAAAGCAUGGGUAGCGAACAGGAUUAGAUACCCUGGUAGUCCAUGCCGUAAACGAUGAAUACUAGGUGUUGGAGGGUUUCCGCCCUUCAGUGCCGCAGCUAACGCAUUAAGUAUUCCGCCUGGGGAGUACGACCGCAAGGUUGAAACUCAAAGGAAUUGACGGGGGCCCGCACAAGUGGUGGAGCAUGUGGUUUAAUUCGAUGCUACGCGAAGAACCUUACCAGCUCUUGACAUCUUCUGCCAACCCAAGAGAUUGGGCGUUCCCUUCGGGGACAGAAUGACAGGUGGUGCAUGGUUGUCGUCAGCUCGUGUCGUGAGAUGUUGGGUUAAGUCCCGCAACGAGCGCAACCCUUAUUAUUAGUUGCCAGCAUUUAGUUGGGCACUCUAGUGAGACUGCCGGUGAUAAA
rnacentral:rRNA from 1 species